rnacentral:snoRNA from 1 species
CCCCUCUCAGGGUCACACCUGGAGAGUUUCCAGAACUCUAACAGUCUCGGCUACGGGAGGGAGAGUCCAGCAGAGGCCUACCCACUCCAUUCCUAGCUUGGGCAGUGGUUAGCAAGUGGAAAGCAAUCUGCUACAAGU